GAUGAACGCUAGCGGCAGGCCUAACACAUGCAAGUCGAGGGGCAGCACGAAUUAGCUUGCUAAUUUGGUGGCUGACCGGCGCACGGGUGCGUAACGCGUAUGCAACCUACCUUAUACAGGAGUAUAGCCCGGAGAAAUUCGGAUUAAUCCUCCAUGGUACUGAGACACCGCAUGGUGCUUCAGUUAAAGCUUCGGCGGUAUAAGAUGGGCAUGCGUCCUAUUAGCUAGAUGGUAAGGUAACGGCUUACCAUGGCUACGAUAGGUAGGGGGCCUGAGAGGGUGGUCCCCCACACUGGUACUGAGACACGGACCAGACUCCUACGGGAGGCAGCAGUGAGGAAUAUUGGUCAAUGGGCGCAAGCCUGAACCAGCCAUGCCGCGUGCAGGAAGAAUGCCCUAUGGGUUGUAAACUGCUUUUAUUUGGGAAUAAACCUUUCUACGUGUAGGAAGCUGAAGGUACCAAGUGAAUAAGC
rnacentral:rRNA from 1 species